rnacentral:rRNA from 1 species
GACGAACGCUGGCGGCGUGCUUAACACAUGCAAGUCGAACGGAGCGAAUGAAAGCUUGCUUUUAUGAGCUUAGUGGCAAACGGGUGAGUAACACGUAGACAACUUGCCGACAGGAUGGGGACAACAUUCCGAAAGGAAUGCUAAUACCGAAUGAAGUCAGAGAAGGGCAUCCUUUUCUGAUGAAAGAUGGCCUCUGAACAUGCUAUCACCUGUCGAUGGGUCUGCGUCUGAUUAGCUGGUUGGUGAGGUAACGGCUCACCAAGGCGACGAUCAGUAGCCGGUCUGAGAGGAUGAACGGCCACAUUGGGACUGAGACACGGCCCAGACUCCUACGGGAGGCAGCAGUGGGGAAUCUUCCGCAAUGGGCGCAAGCCUGACGGAGCAACGCCGCGUGAGUGAAGAAGGUCUUCGGAUCGUAAAGCUCUGUUGAUGGGGACGAACGUGCCUAAUGCGAAUAGUAUUAGGUAAUGACG